UACGAAGGGUGCUAGCGUUGUUCGGAAUUACUGGGCGUAAAGCGCGCGUAGGUGGUUUGUUAAGUUGGGUGUGAAAUCCCCGGGCUCAACCUGGGAACUGCAUCCAAAACUGGCAAGCUAGAGUAUGGUAGAGGGUGGUGGAAUUUCCUGUGUAGCGGUGAAAUGCGUAGAUAUAGGAAGGAACACCAGUGGCGAAGGCGACCACCUGGACUGAUACUGACACUGAGGUGCGAAAGCGUGGGGAGCAAACAGG
rnacentral:rRNA from 1 species